rnacentral:tRNA from 1 species
UCCCGUUUAGCUCAGUUGGUAGAGCGCGUCACUAGUCGAGGUCAGUCGUUCGAGUCGGCUAAUGGGAA